AAAUAAGCCAGACUCAAAAAAAGAAACAGAUACGGUGUGAUUCCACUUACAUAAGCUUAACGCCGGGUGGCCGGCUCUGCUGGAGCAGAGGAAGUUAAUGUGAUAACAUCGUGGAAGAGGAGGAAGCCUGUGUAGCAUCAGCUUGCCCAUAGCCCGUGUCCCUGAUAAGUGGCUACAUCCAGAAAAGAAGAAAGCGCUGACUUCUGUUUGCUGAGUAAUUCCCCUUUUGAAGCAUGGACAAGCGAGGGGUGCCCCCUGGGACAUCGUCAGAAGUCCACACUGAGGCUCACUGGGCUGAAAUCAAGGGGUCAGCAGGACUGUGUUUCUCUAUGGAGGCUCUGGGGGAGAGUCUAUGUCCUUGUUGUUGUAGGCUGAUUUUGUAACCCA
ensembl:lncRNA